rnacentral:sRNA from 1 species
AAUGUGAAAGAUGAGGGGAUGGGGCAAUUGUUCAGCUGAUAAAGUGUCUGUCACUCAACAGGAGUUCAAUACUCAGAACCUUGUAAUCUCAUUGCUGGGGAGACAGAGACAGAUGGAUGGAGCCUGCAAUGCACUGGCUAGCCAGUUAAGCCAACUUGGUUAUCUUCUUAAUGUCCACCCAGUGCGGUCUCAAGAUUCUAGCUGGUGAUGGAGAAGACCACCAUGAUGUCACAGACGCUCAAGACAGAGUUGAGAAACGAAUGGUGUGAUGAUAAGUGAUUCAUCCAAAAGGAAGUGAGGACUCCAAUGACACAGUGAUGGAAUCUUUUUUCAUUCUUUGGGUGCUUUAUAACAUGACCGGAAACCACGAGGUAAAUGUCUUAAGUGAUAAAACGCCCUGACAAAAGCAACUUAAGGGAGAAAGGGCUUGCCUUAGCUCACAGUCACAGUUUACAGUCCACCUCGGCGGAGAGGUCAAAGUAUCGGGAGAUUGAAGCAGCUGGUCACAUUACCUACCUAGUCAGAAGAGAGCAAUGAAUAACGUGUGUGUGCAGGAGUACAGUUCAGCUUGCUUCUCCUGCCCAUAAAUAAGAGGUGUCCUCUCAUAUAAUUUACGAUAAUCAAGAUAAUCCUCCAUAAGCAUACCCAGAGACCUUUCUUCCAGCCAAUUCUGGGUUGGGUCAACUUGGAAAUAAAACUAACCACACACACCACAGUAAGCAACUGUCUUAGAAGGAGGUCCCUUUCAUACCCAAGACGCCCUAAUGACAACUCAUGCAAAUGACGGCGUUAUCCAUCUACUCAUUCAGAGAGAGUUUUCAUGACUCCCAGCUGACCUCAUCCCUCAAGAUCCCACACUAGGGAAUUAAGCUUUCAACAUUUAGAAAUUACAGGGAAUGCAUUAAACCAUAUUUUCAAAAAAAAAAAAACUCAUUUCCUCCUAAAUCAUAGGGAUUAUAACUCACAGGCCAGAGUCAUGUCACCUUGCUUAAGUCGAAGAUGGCUAGACGGAAGAGAAUCAUGGAUGCAGGCUGAGUUGGCCGACUAAAUGGGACCGCUGUAAGAAUCAGAAUGUAUCUGUGGGGUUCAGAUAUACAUGACCAGGAUCAGCACAACAAGGUGCAGAUGAAAA